GGAUAAUCUACCCGACAUCAGGGAUAACAUUUCGAAAGAAUGCUAAUACCUGAUAAGCCUACGCCCUCCUCGGAGGAAGUAGGAAAAGGUGGGGACCUUCGGGCCUGCCGUUGUGGAUGAGUCCGCGGCCCAUUAGCUAGUUGGUAGGGUAAUGGCCUACCAAGGCUACGAUGGGUAGCUGGUCUGAGAGGAUGAUCAGCCACACUGGAACUGAGACACGGUCCAG
rnacentral:rRNA from 1 species